rnacentral:tRNA from 1 species
GCGCAGUUAGCUCAGCGGUAGAGCACUUCUUUGACGUAGAAGGGGUCACAGGUUCAAUUCCUGUACCGCGCACCA